UACGUAGGGCGCAAGCGUUGUCCGGAAUUAUUGGGCGUAAAGAGCUCGUAGGCGGCUUGUUGCGUCAGCUGUGAAAAACCCGCAGCUCAACUGUGGGCUUGCAGCUGAUACGGGCAGGCUUGAGUUCGGUAGGGGAGACUGGAAUUCCUGGUGUAGCGGUGAAAUGCGUAGAUAUCUGGAGGAACACCGGUGGCGAAGGCGGCAUCCUGGACCGAGAUUGACGCUGAGGCGCGAAAGCCAGGGGAGCAAACGGG
rnacentral:rRNA from 1 species